AAAAAAGGUUGAUGAGAGAGCCUUCUUUGACCUGCAGACAAAGCGCCGCCUGUAUAACUUCUGUGCAUCGGAUGGUGCAGCUGCUCAGGAGUGGAUUGAAAAGAUCCAGUCAUGUCUGCAAUAGAUGGAGGAAGAAAAGAAACCGUGCUAUUUUCUUAGCACUGCGUUUAAUGUGCUUUGCUGAAAUCUUCCAAACAAUUGGCUGUCAACUUUUUGUUCAGUAUUAUUGUGGUGUUUUUGAGGCAAUUACAUUAUUUCUCUUUCCUUGUUCAUUUUCUUUUUUUCUUCUUCCUUUCACUUCCUUUCUCCCAAUAUAAAUUUCUAUGUAAAUACAAAAUUUUGAUUAGAAGAAAUUUUGCAUAGGAUAUUUUCCUUUACCUUUUGUUUUAUCAUCAUCAUGAAUAUUCUUUAUUUAAACAAAAAUAUAUAGAGUUGAGUAGCUACAUAUAUGAGUGAUACAUAUUAUGAAGAUUAAUAUUACUAUAUAUUGUCUUAAGAAAAGACCCACUUUAGAUGUAGGCCUAGUGAGGUCAAGAGGGGUGCAUAUUAUGGAGAAGAAUGCUUUAAUUAUUUAUGGAACCUGAAUGCGUGCCUCAAUAUAAAUUGAUAUAUAUCCUAUUGAAAUUGGUAUUAGAAUCCUGCAACUUUCUUAACAAUGGAAAAAUACACACAUUUAAAGAAGGCAAUAAAUGCUAAAAGGUUUUGGUAUUUCUGCCAGGAUAUCAUCUAACUUUGUAUAUCUAGGGGACCAAAACUUUCCAUAGAGUAUCAUUUGAAGUGAGAUCUCCAUUCUUGGGUUAGUUGUCUCACUCAUACCGAAACCUUGAUGGAAAGGAGACAAGGUGUUGUUAUCCACAUAGCAUUAGAAGAAUUAGCUUUUACAGUAUCCUAUUCCUUUGGGUUGCAUGUAGGAUGUUUUAAUGUUUUGGGCCUUUUGCACUUUUCCUCAGGAAAUUUGUAAUAAAGGUUCAAAAGAUA